rnacentral:rRNA from 1 species
UACAGAGGUCUCAAGCGUUGUUCGGAUUCAUUGGGCGUAAAGGGUGCGUAGGUGGCUUGUUAAGUUGAAGGUGAAAUCUCGGGGCUCAACUCCGAAACUGCCUUCAAUACUGGCGAGCUCGAGGACUGUAGAGGAGAAUGGAAUUCACGGUGUAGCAGUGAAAUGCGUAGAUAUCGUGAGGAAGACCAGUGGCGAAGGCGGCGAUCUGGGCUGUUACUGACGCUGAGGUGCGAAAGCGUGGGGAGCAAACAGG